GGGGGCGAAUGGAUUCGACGGGGAUAGAAGAAAUACUGGGAGCGUGCCGAGGUGCCAUCAACCUCGUAAAACAGGUGGCAAACAAACAAAUGCCAACACUGAUUUGGCACUGGCCGCCUAAAUAAGGGCGACCCGUCCGCUCCGGUUGAGCCUGCAGGGCCGGAAUCCGGGCGUCGAUUACUGAAGGCUGGCCCGCUGACCUGCUCCUGGAAGGCGGGCGAGAAACUCUGGAGCUAGUCUCAUGAUACCUUUGCCAGUCGAGGUAUCAUGGGGCGAAGCUGAUUCGACAGGCUACGCACGUAGAAUCCGGUAUGGAAGUAUCUGCGGACGCGGGUUCGAUUCCCGCCGCCUCCACCA
rnacentral:tmRNA from 1 species